UAUCCAUGACCCACACUGAGGCUUACAGAGGUGCUCUGCUCUCCGCCCUGCUGAAGAGUUUGGUCAGCUGUGGCCCAGUCUGGGGAGGAGAAAACAUGAGCACCCUGAAGAUGAACCAUAGCCUGAUGCCUGCAGGUAGCGGCGAGCGCCCAUCCGUGUUCUCCUUCACCCUCGCCCCUUGGCGUCACCCAGCGACCCCAGGUCGCCCUGUGUCACAGUGGCCUGCAGCACUGGAGACAACGCCAGGCACAGCAGGUGUGCAGGAGGGGAGCUGAGGCUGCACCGGGUGGCAGAGCCAGCAGAGGCUGCACCAGCAUCGCCACGGUGCCCACGCAGCCGGCCGGCCAGGAAGUGUUUCUCAGAGCAUCACCCAUGACGAGGUGAUGCGUGACACGGAAUGUGGGCAAAUGCAUACAUUAGGCAGUUUUAGCAUCUCUUCUAAAUUUAUAUAAAUAAUUUAAUCAAUUGCCUGUAAAAUACAUAGUAUUCCAAUUAUAUGAAUUAUAUGUACUUAAUAUACCAUCGAUAUUUUAUAUUUAUGCUAAUUAUAGUAAUACCUAUUAAGUUUUAUGUUAUAAACUGAUAUGACAUUGAGUACAUAUCAUGUAUCUUACUGCAGUGAUACACUAAAAUAUUCCGUCAUACUAAUCAUACUGCUUAUGUAGUUAAUGUGUUGCAUAAGUUCGUGCAGUAUGCACGGCGCAGUAUAAAGCCCCGUUGUCGCCUGUGGCUGCCGUGUGUGCCCCAUGUCUCCCAGGCCCUUCUAACCCUCUCCCCUCGGAGCCCAGGAGGGCAAGGCCGCGCCCCCCCGCACCUGAGCGCCCAGCCUGCCACUCCUCCCAGAGCACUUCAGGUUUUCUCUGGCCCAGAACAGGCAGGCACCGGCCUUCGGGACCAGUGUGAAUGCAUCACCCACCCCUGAACCGUUAGCACCCAAUCUGCGCCCAGGGACCCCGAUGCUGAAGCUGGGAGGGGCGGGGCCCUGGUUUGGACCGGAACCCGGAGUCUGAGCCCUUGACCGUCCUACUCCACGGCACGCGGGGGAGAUGCUGAGACUCCCCACGCGGGCGGCAGCACAGCCCGAGGCCGCUGGGAGGCGCCCGUGUGCCUACCCUGGCGCAGGUCCCGCCUGUGGGCAGCCUGGCUCCCCGCCUCCUCCUGGGGCUCUGACCCGGCCCGGGCCUGCACUUGG
rnacentral:lncRNA from 1 species